AUCUAGAGGGAUGGUUAUGAAAGACCUCCGAAGGGAGACCCUCACUCAAGCCUCGGGAUAAUAGCGGACCCUCAAGAACUCACGAGAGACC
rnacentral:pre_miRNA from 7 species